rnacentral:lncRNA from 1 species
AACAAGAAUGUGUCCUCAGUACACGAAUGCCCCACUCGCACUAUCAUUUUCUAUGUUCAGUGGACCGUGAAAUAUGGGUAAAAUCUCUAAUUUGGCAUUAAAAUUAGAAAGAAUCAUAUCAUAGAACAUGUGUACCAAGUUUGAAGUCGAUUGGACUUCAACUUCAUCAAAAACUACCUCGACCAAAAACUUUAACCUGAAGCGGGACAGA